rnacentral:lncRNA from 1 species
UGGUGCCUCCCUCACAUCGGCUCCUGUGGCCGCUCCCGUCUUCGCCGCCGCCGCCCGCCGGUGCCUCCCUCCACCACCACCUGGGCCCCGCCUCCUUGCCAUUCACGAACAGGAGUUUCGGCAGGUUCGUGCGGGCGCCGUCACGCCGCCACAUAUCGAGACUCGCUGUCCGUUCGCCGGCCCGCCUCCUCCACGGCCGUCCAGUCUGCCGCCCUCAACGCCGAUCGCGCCGUCCAGUCCGCCCGCACCCUCUGCCGCCAUCUUCAAAAGCCCUGCCGCCGCCACGAGAUCCAGGCGAGCAUGAUGGAAGACGUGGAUGCGGCUCCAGUGGUUGAUUGGGUGGCAACGAGGAUGAACCGCAGCUGACUGCACCCAUGCACAACCGCAACCAACUAGCUAAAGCAACGAAGCCUAUUCUCUUCAAAAAAAAAAAAUUGGCAUAAAUAUGCUGAAAAUGAGCUUAUGCUAAUCCUGAGAUAAAAAGGGGCUGCAGGGAUGUUGGGGCUUUGGUCCUUGAGAUCAUGCAUAUUGCAAGAGAAACCUAAUCUGAGUUUCAAAAGUGGAUGGUGCAGCUGUUCCGUUUGAUUGCAAAAUGCCCGAAUAGCUUUGACUUUCAAGUGUUUGGGGUCAAGUCUGUAGUUUGCAAGGAGUGAACCUCAUUGUCCGUUCGUUGGGGAGACCUCCUCCUCCACCGCUGUCCAGUCCGCUGCCCCCAGUUCGCACGUUCGAGGGGGAACAUUGAUUUGUUCUUUAGAAAUUCAAUAAAUAGGCAUUCGUACAUGUGGCAUCCGAUGGUUAUAUGCUAUGGUCAUUUUUCAUUAAAUGUUGACUCAACUUUGUGGUAUGUUUUCAGUUUCAUUUAGCCAUUAAACUCUGGAGGAACUACAGAAUAAACUUGUAGAUGCAGAGGCCAGAAUGGAUUUGUAAGAGGCAAUGGAUUUUAGUAUUCAGUAAUCUUUGAUUUCAGGUAAAUUAAAGAUCAUUGCACAAUCAAGAAAUAUAUUUUGUGAAUGUUUGCAAU